ACUGGAAACCAGAAGGAUUCACAGCGCGUCCAGGAAAGGAGGGAGACAGGGAUCAAGACUAAAGGGGAUAAAACAGAAAGUUAAGAGCUUCAAAGAGAAAAUCAUUAGAGAAAAUAAUAUGAAGUGCUCGGCACACCAGGAGAGACAUCCAGCUCCAUAUUAAGAGAGAGCCUUGCAGAGUUGGUACAAUGCUGAGAGCAAGAUGUCCUGUAGCUGGAGGGACCUUGGAAAAGACACUGGAACCCUGGACUCAACAGAUGUCAAAACUGGCAGAUGUUCUGCUGAGGAAAAAAUGGACCCUGCAUGGAAUAUAUGCGGGGAACAUUUAUAUAUCACUCCUGUUGUAUGAAGGUGCCGACGUACUUCAGAACGAUCAAUACAAAGGAAGACCACAACAGGAACAGGAGGUUACAUUUCUUCCUGAUGCCCAGCAGAGGGAGGGUGAUGCCUGUCCCUAUGCCUCCUGUUCUCAAGGGGCUGCCCCAAGGAGUCACCUUGCUGACGGCCAAGAGGAGCUGAGGCGACACUUCGUUACCAAAACCCCUUGAAGCAAGUGGAAAUGAAUUCUCCUGUAAUUCUGAAAUGUGUUAUUAUGUUUAUUUCCUAAUGAGUUUCUAAUUCUCUGUAAAUUGAACAUAGUACAAGUGAGCAGUAAAUAUACACAUUACUAAUUAUUUAUAAAAAAGAAGUUAAUUCCUCAAGACAAAGAGGGAAACUUCAUAAUUUUAGGAAUGAAUCAUCAGUGACUGGAGUGAAUGGAAAGAGACUGAUGCUUUAAAAUUAUAAAGGGUACGGGGAAUGUUUACAAAGUAACCACAACUUACUGCAGGUCUGAAUAUUUGCACAUUUCUACUACAGCCAACAUAAAUUUUUGACCAGUUUAACAGGUAAUAUUUUGGUUCUAAUUAAGCAAAAGCCAUGCUAGUCAAUUCUUAAGCAUUUACAUAUCAAGAAGAAAAGAGCUGAAUAAAUUUGAAAAUACUAAUUAAAAACUACGAUAAUGCUUCAUAAACUAACUUAAAAGCGUUGCCUUUCUAUCAACUAAAAAUUAAAAAAAAUUUUUUUUAUUGUGGUAAAGUCACAUAAUA